rnacentral:rRNA from 1 species
CCACCGCGGUUAUACGAGAGGCCCAAGUUGACAAACUCCGGCGUAAAGCGUGGUUAAGGCAUACUCUAAAACUAAAGCCGAAUAUCUUCAGAGCAGUCAUACGCAUCCGAAGACACGAAGCCCCACCACGAAAGUGGCUUUAUGACCCCUGACCCCACGAAAGCUAGGACACAAACUGGGAUUAGAUACCCCACUAUGCCUAGCCGUAAACAUUGAUAGAAUUAUACGCCCUCUAUCCGCCCGGGUACUACGAGCAUCAGCUUGAAACCCAAAGGACUUGGCGGUACUUUAGAUCCCCCUAGAGGAGCCUGUUCUAUAACCGAUAACCCCCGUUCAACCUCACCCUCCCUUGUUUUUCCCGCCUAUAUACCGCCGUCGUAAGCUUACCCUGUGAAGGCCUAAUAGUAAGCAAAAUUGGCACUGCCCAGAACGUCAGGUCGAGGUGUAGCAUAUGAGAGGGGAAGAGAUGGGCUACAUUCGCUAGUCUAGCGAAUACGAAUGAUAGUACUGAAACCGUACAUCUGAAGGAGGAUUUAGCAGUAAGUCGAAAAUAGAGUGUUCUACUGAAGCUGGCUCUGAAGUGCGUACACACCGCCCGUCACUCUCCCCAAGCUCACAAUACAUUAAUAUACAUAAAAUGCCUAAACCGCUAAGGGGAGGCAAGUCGUAACAUGGUAAGUG